rnacentral:rRNA from 2 species
UCUGGUGUCAGCCGCCGCGGUAAAACCAGCACCUCAAGUUGUCAGGAUGAUUAUUGGGCCUAAAGCAUCCGUAGCCGGCUCUGUUAGUUUUCGGUUAAAUCUGUACGCUUAACGUACAGGCUGCCGGGAAUACUGCAGAGCUAGGGAGUGGGAGAGGUAGACGGUACUCGGUAGGAAGGGGUAAAAUCCUUUGAUCUAUUGAUGACCACCUGUGGCGAAGGCGGUCUACCAGAACACGUCCGACGGUGAGGGAUGAAAGCUGGGGGAGCAAACCGGAUUAGAUACCCGGGUAGUCCCAGCUGUAAACUAUGCAAACUCAGUGAUGCAUUGGCUUGUGGCCAAUGCAGUGCUGCAGGGAAGCCGUUAAGUUUGCCGCCUGGGAAGUACGUACGCAAGUAUGAAACUUAAAGGAAUUGGCGGGGGAGCACCACAAGGGGUGAAGCCUGCGGUUCAAUUGGAGUCAACGCCAGAAAUCUUACCCGGAGAGACAGCAGAAUGAAGGUCAAGCUGAAGACUUUACCAGACAAGCU